GGGUCAGUAGGUUGGUCGUGCCACCGGUACGUACUGGUCUCACUGAUUCCUCCUUCCUGAAGAACCGUAAUGCCAUUAAUUUGGUGUUGCGGGGAAACAGGACUGUUACUUUGAAAAAAUUAGAGUGUUUAAAGCAAGCUAAUGCUUGAAUACAUUAGCAUGGAAUAAUGAAAUAGGACGAUCGAUCCUAUUUUGUCGGUUUCUAGGAUUGACGUA
rnacentral:rRNA from 1 species